UAGAAUGGCUGAUCCCUGGUUUUAGAAUCCAUGGGAAUAACGUUGCCAAGUGCCAGAAUAGUGUAACAUUCCAACAAAUGCCAGUGCUCCUCACUGGCCUUCCUUCCCUAAUGGAUGCAAGGAUGAUCCCACCAGCUAGUGUUUCUAAUAGCUAGGUUCUAUGUGAACAGUCUUAUUGUAGGGGCAACCUCUUAACUUUGUGACUGGACAGAUAAAACGAUGUAGUAAAAGAAGGAUAGAAUACAAAGUAUUAGGUAGGUACAAAAGUAAUUAAGGUUUUUGCCAUUACUUUCAAUGACCAAAAAUUGCAAUUACUUUUGCACCAAUCUAGUAAAACAGCAAUAAAAAUUCAAGGGCUUUGGGCUAAGGCAAAGACUUGCUUUCCUGUGGACAUCUAACAAGCCAGUUCUGAGGUGGCCUUUCCAGGUGGAGGCCAUUGCAGCCAAUUUCCAGAAGUUAAGUACCUGGACAUGCGACUCCAGGCAGAAGAUGUAGGGUCUCUGUAAGCCAAUAAUAAAUUGGAAGGAAUGCAUUGCUGCAGCUGAAUUUGUCUGUCUCCCACAGCCAUGUGGAAUCUCCACCCUCCUCUUUCUCCCUGUUAGUCUGAUGUAUUGAUGCCACCUCAGUUUCAGAAAGUAGGCUGAGUAUAAACUAUAAAUGUCAAAUAACGAGCUUCGAGUUUCCAAUGAUAAAUGGACCUUCUCUGUUAGUCUUCUUUGCUCACUCAGUAUCCCACUGGCCUUAAAACCCUUUCCUGUUACAUUUCCUCAUGCUUUAUGAGCAUACAUUUCAAAGGAAGAAAUGAAAAUUUAAUCCAUUUAGUUCCCAUGUGGGAAUACAUAAAGGCCAGAUGAAAAUUGUCACUAUUUGAAGAAGCUGUAACCAAACUAUGUGUGUUACAAUGUAGAAGUACAAGAAAAGAGCCCCAACAUGUAUUUUAAGAAAUAAAGAGAGAGAGACAGAGACAGACAGAGAGAGAGAGAGAGAGAGAGAGAGAGAGUGUGUGUGUGUGUGUGUGUGUGUGUGUGUGUGUGUGUGUGUGUGUGUGUGUAUUUUCCCCAUGCUUUUGGACUAUGGGGAAAACCAAAACCAAAGCAAGACAUCAAGCAAUGGUGCUGUUAUUAUAGCCCCAAGUCAAAGACCUGAGGGAGGCAAACACCACCUCAUUCUGCAGAUGAAUGUGAAAGCAGACCCAGUCACUGGGAAAUGUCAUCCUCCCAUCAGCCAAGAUGCCAGCAAUGGAAGAGUGGCAACCCCAGUAGGAAUAAAAGAAACAUAAUUUGCAAGUUCAUUCAUUUUUAAUAGCUAAAAAUCAGCUUAAAGGAGAAGCACAUCCUGAUUGUAAGUCCCCACUAAGUUGGAGGGUGACUUGAAUGGGGUGAAAGGUGAAAGGGACAGAGGAGAGCAGUGGGGCUUCAGAGGCCACCAGGCUCAGGAUCUGCAGGAUGGAUGGUAUCUUCCAGAACAGGCAAUGCUUUGCCCUCAGGAGAAUUUCCCAGAGCUGCUGAGGGGAGAAGACAGCCACACACAGGACAGACCAUUUGGUGAUGGGUUUGAUAUUAGAAGUGGCAGGGACAGGAACUUCAGAAGCAAAGGAGGCAAGGCAGCUGGAGUCAAGUGAGGACAGUGGCAGGCGUGCUUUCACAUGGCCUGUCCCACAGAUGGAGGUGAAAGGUGCACCUUCUUGUCCUCUGUUCUGUAGAAAUCCUUCCCUGUUUGAUCCUUCCCCUGCCAAAUGAACUAUGUUACUCUAAUACUAACCUGUAUUAAUUAAUAUAUGAGAUAUAUAUAAGUUAAUUUUUCAUGAAAUCUAAAGCACAACCCUAGAACUAAUUUUUAAAAGUGUUAUUUCUACCAUUGAAAAAGUAAUGUAUAACAUAUUUUAUGUGAUUAAAGUGCGUAUUCUCAAUAAGAGGUAACCUUUUUUUGAUGCUGCAAUGCUCUGUGAUACCACAGAGGUAAGCAAUGCCACUUAACCUGUAUCAUAAAUAGUCCCAAACUGCUCUUCCUAUAAAAUUCUGCCUUUGUCAACAGCUUUGCUGUCUCCUAAUCACUCUCAAGCUCUCUGCUGUGCAUGUGACUGUUGUCAGAAGGAAAAUCACCAAGAAACUUCACCUCUCACUGCCUUUGAUUUGUUGCAGUUAAUCUAAGAAACAAAAUGAAGAUGGCUAGUCUAAUGGUGGAUGAAACAAAAAUGAAGUCUGAGUGCUAAUUCAGAGAACUUGCAAUUCCAGACAUUUUCAAUUCUAGGUCUUCUGCUAUAUUCCAAUCAGAACAGAAGCUUCAGGGCUCAUAGUUACUGAGAAAACUCACGUUUUUCUACCUCUAACUUCAUAUAGAAUUCCAAAUGAAAGCACCACCAAACUGCACAUAUUUGUGUGAGGAAGAUCAACAAGCUUCAGACUUUUCCCAUGAGGACUUAAUUCUUUUAUCAAAUUACCCAAUUUUUAAACUGCUGUGUGGAUACUGUGAGUGUUCAGCUUUAUCGAUGACCUAGCCUUGGACCAGAUAGCUGAAAAUGUUCAGGAUGUGUACUCAAGCUGAUAGUAAUUCUGAGCCCUGUCUAAUAAAAAAGGAAGGAUGU
rnacentral:lncRNA from 10 species